rnacentral:rRNA from 1 species
GAUGAACGCUGGCGGCGUGCCUAAUACAUGCAAGUCGAGCGAACGGACGAGAAGCUUGCUUCUCUGACGUUAGCGGCGGACGGGUGAGUAACACGUGGAUAACCUACCUAUAAGACUGGGAUAAAUUCGGGAAACCGGAGCUAAUACCGGAUAAUAUUUUGAACCGCAUGGUUCAAAAGUGAAAGACGGUCUUUCUGUCACUUAUAGAUGGAUCCGCGCUGCAUUAGCUAGUUGGUAAGGUAACGGCUUACCAAGGCAACGAUGCAUAGCCGACCUGAGAGGGUGAUCGGCCACACUGGAACUGAGACACGGUCCAGACUCCUACGGGAGGCAGCAGUAGGGAAUCUUCCGCAAUGGGCGAAAGCCUGACGGAGCAACGCCGCGUGAGUGAUGAAGGUCUUCGGAUCGUAAAACUCUGUUAUUAGGGAAGAACAUAUGUGUAAGUAACUGUGCACAUCUUGACGGUACCUAAUCAGAAAGCCACGGCUAACUACGUG